AUACGUAGGGUGCAAGCGUUAAUCGGAAUUACUGGGCGUAAAGCGUGCGCAGGCGGUUUUGUAAGACAGAGGUGAAAUCCCCGGGCUCAACCUGGGAACUGCCUUUGUGACUGCAAGGCUAGAGUACGGCAGAGGGGGAAGGAAUUCCGCGGGUAGCAGGGAAAUGCGUAGAUAUGCGGAGGAAAACCGAUGGCGAAGGCAAUCCCCUGGGCCUGUACUGACGCUCAUGCACGAAAGCGUGGGGAGCAAACAGGAUUAGAUACCCUGGUAGUCCACGCCCUAAACGAUGUCAACUGGUUGUUGGGUCUUCAUUGACUCAGUAACGAAGCUAACGCGUGAAGUUGACCGCCUGGGGAGUACGGCCGCAAGGUUGAAACUCAAAUGAAUUGACGGGG
rnacentral:rRNA from 1 species